CGUAUCUGCGGUGCUGGAUGCGCAGUCAGACUGAGGGUGGCAGCGUUAAUCGGAAGUACUUGUCGUAAAGCGCACGCAGUGGGUCAAUUACGUCAGAUGUGAAAGCGCCUAGCUUAACUUGGGAAUUGCAUCUGAAACUGGUGGUCAAGAGGCUUGUAGAGGGGAGUAGAAUUCCAUGGGUAGUGGUGUAAUGCGUAGAGAUGUGGAGGAAUACCGGUGGCGAAGGCGGCCCCCUGGACAAAGACGGACGCUCAGUUGCGAAAGCGUGGGGAGCAAACAGGAUUAGAUACCCUAGUAGUC
rnacentral:rRNA from 1 species